rnacentral:sRNA from 1 species
GAGAGAGAGAGAGAGAGAGAGAGAGAGAGAGAGAGAGAAGUGGGGGAGAAAAUGAAGUUGGACAAGUGGAAUAAUUGAGCAGGGGGUUCUGGAGGAGACCAUGAUCAAAAUGUAUUGUAUGAAAAAACUAUUUGAACAAUAGCAUGCUGAGCAAGCCAUGAGGAGGAAGCCCUCAGCAGUCCUCCUCCACAGCCUCUGUCUCCUCCAAGGCCCAGCUCCAGGUGUCUUCCUGUUUGAGUUCCUGCCCUGGCUGCUUUCAAUGACGGAUGAGCCGAUACUGAAUAAUUUGGACUCCGUAGAAAGUUUGCAACAACUACUUGGGCGACUGAAAAAUCAGAAAUAUUAAGAGAGAGAUCCAGAAACCAUUUGCCCUGGGAACUGUUACCAGGUGAACACGCUUAUAACUGGUGGUGAAGAAAUUUCACCAGAAACCAGCAGCUUCUCAGAAUGUCACAUGCCAACCCCAGCACUGCCAAUCGACUACAACUUGGUUUCAUUAUGAAGACCAGGCUGGCCUUGAACUCAGAAAUCCACUUGUGUCUGCCUCCUGAGUGCAAAGAUUAAAGGUGUGAGUCACCACUCCUAGCUCCUUGCAUUUCUUUACGAUUUUUUUCAGCUAAGUAUACAUCCUUAGAUUCUAAAGUUGGUUUUACCCAUUUUUGUAAAAAUGGUCUUUUGUUUCUUCUUUUUUUUCCCCCAAGUUGAUUCUUCCCACUUUCACAGUUAUUUGUCAUUAAAAACUGAGGUAAACAUUUUCUGCAAACUAACCUAUGCACACAAAAGUCACAUUUUUAAAUUAGGUUUGUUCUUUGGCAAUUUCACACAUGUAUAGACUGCAUUUGUGAUUACUCUCACCUCCUUUCUUCUCUUAUCUCCCUCUCACCUUUAUCAAUCCACUCCACCCACCCUCCCCAAAUCCUGUUGGGGUUUGCCCUGGGGUUAUCUGUAUUUUGAUGCUAGUUCCACUGCCCCAAGGACAGCUGCCUGGUCACUCAGGUGACUUCACCAGAAC